CACUGGUCGCCUUCUUGUUACCAACAAGUGCGUUCAGCCAUUCAAGGUGUUGCACGGCGGAGUAUCGGCUCUGAUAUCGGAGGCUUUGGCCAGCAUGGGGGCCCAUAUGGCAUCCGGAUUUCGAAGGGUAGCUGGGAUUCACCUUAGCAUCAGCCAUCUGAAGCGCGCCGAGCUUGGCGACCUUAUCCUCGCCGAAGCUGCUCCUCUCAGUGUUGGCAAAACCAUUCAG
rnacentral:misc_RNA from 1 species